rnacentral:rRNA from 1 species
CGGAGGGAAACCGAGUCUUAACCGGGCGUUAAGUUGCAGGGUAUAGACCCGAAACCCGGUGAUCUAGCCAUGGGCAGGUUGAAGGUUGGGUAACACUAACUGGAGGACCGAACCGACUAAUGUUGAAAAAUUAGCGGAUGACCUGUGGCUGGGGGUGAAAGGCCAAUCAAACCGGGAGAUAGCUGGUUCUCCCCGAAAGCUAUUUAGGUAGCGCCUCGUGAAUUCAUCUCCGGGGGUAGAGCACUGUUUCGGCUAGGGGGCCAUCCCGGCUUACCAACCCGAUGCAAACUGCGAAUACCGGAGAAUGUUAUCACGGGAGACACACGGCGGGUGCUAACGUCCGUCGUGAAGAGGGAAACAACCCAGACCGCCAGCUAAGGUCCCAAAGUCAUGGUUAAGUGGGAAACGAUGUGGGAAGGCCCAGACAGCCAGGAUGUUGGCUUAGAAGCAGCCAUCAUUUAAAGAAAGCGUAAUAGCUCACUGGUCGAGUCGGCCUGCGCGGAAGAUGUAACGGGGCUAAACCAUGCACCGAAGCUGCGGCAGCGACGCUGAUGCGUUGUUGGGUAGGGGAGCGUUCUGUAAGCCUGCGAAGGUGGCCUGUGAGGGUUGCUGGAGGUAUCAGAAGUGCGAAUGCUGACAUAAGUAACGAUAAAGCGGGUGAAAAGCCCGCUCGCCGGAAGACCAAGGGUUCCUGUCCAACGUUAAUCGGGGCAGGGUGAGUCGACCCCUAAGGCGAGGCCGAAAGGCGUAGUCGAUGGGAAACGGGUUAAUAUUCCCGUACUUGGUGUUACUGCGAAGGGGGGACGGAGAAGGCUAUGUUGGCCGGGCGACGGUU